rnacentral:rRNA from 1 species
CCUUAGAGUUUGAUCCUGGCUCAGGAUGAACUUUGGCGGCGUGCCUAACACAUGCAAGUCGAGCGAUUUACUUCGGUAAAGAGCGGCGGACGGGUGAGUAACGCGUGGGUAACCUGCCCUGUACACACGGAUAACAUACCGAAAGGUAUGCUAAUACGAGAUAAAAUACUUUUAUCGCAUGGUAGAAGUAUCAAAGCUUUUGCGGUACAGGAUGGACCCGCGUCUGAUUAGCUAGUUGGUAAGGUAACGGCUUACCAAGGCGACGAUCAGUAGCCGACCUGAGAGGGUGAUCGGCCACAUUGGAACUGAGACACGGUCCAAACUCCUACGGGAGGCAGCAGUGGGGAAUAUUGCACAAUGGGCGAAAGCCUGAUGCAGCAACGCCGCGUGAGCGAUGAAGGCCUUCGGGUCGUAAAGCUCUGUCCUCAAGGAAGAUAAUGACGGUACUUGAGGAGGAAGCCCCGGCUAACUACGUGCCAGCAGCCGCGGUAAUACGUAGGGGGCUAGCGUUAUCCGGAAUUACUGGGCGUAAAGGGUGCGUAGGUGGUUUCUUAAGUCAGAGGUGAAAGGCUACGGCUCAACCGUAGUAAGCCUUUGAAACUGGGGAACUUGAGUGCAGGAGAGGAGAGUGGAAUUCCUAGUGUAGCGGUGAAAUGCGUAGAUAUUAGGAGGAACACCAGUGGCGAAGGCGGCCUGCUGGGCUUUUACUGACGCUGAGGCUCGAAAGUGUGGGGAGCAAACAGGAUUAGAUACCCUGGUAGUCCACACCGUAAACGAUGAUUACUAGGUGUGGGGGGUCUGACCCCCUCCGUGCCGGAGCAAACGCAAUAAGUAAUCCACCUGGGGAGUACGGCCGCAAGGUUGAAACUCAAAGGAAUUGACGGGGGCCCGCACAAGCAGUGGAGUAUGUGGUUUAAUUCGAAGCAACGCGAAGAACCUUACCAGGUCUUGACAUCGUGUGCAUAGCCUAGAGAUAGGUGAAGUCCUUCGGGACACACAGACAGGUGGUGCAUGGUUGUCGUCAGCUCGUGUCGUGAGAUGUUGGGUUAAGUCCCGCAACGAGCGCAACCCUUGUAUUUAGUUGCUACGCAAGAGCACUCUAGAUAGACUGCCGUUGACAAAACGGAGGAAGGUGGGGAUGACGUCAAAUCAUCAUGCCCCUUACGACCUGGGCCACACACGUACUACAAUGGCGCACAACAGAGGGGAGCAAGACAGCGAUGUGGAGCAAACCCCUAAAAUGCGUCCCAGUUCAGAUUGCAGGCUGCAACCCGCCUGCAUGAAGUCGGAAUUGCUAGUAAUCGCGGAUCAGCAUGCCGCGGUGAAUACGUUCCCGGGCCUUGUAAGCACCGCCCGUCA